UAUUAUAUUAUAGGUCUGCCAAAUUCACACUUAUCUAUCAAAUUGGUGUAAGUACUGUAGCAAUUUCUCUUGGAAUACAUUUCAUUUAAGGCUACAUGGAAGUGUAGAGAGAAAAUCCAGUUUAUGGAGAUAUGGCUAUGUUGCUGAAGAAUGGAUUUGCCAUUAAUGUAUUUCUAUUAAAGCUCAGAUGACUCAUGCAUGGAAUCAGAAUUUAUUUCUCUAAUGAUUUAAUGUCCUCUGACAGUUAAAAAGCAAAGCAAACCUUGCAGGAUUUCAAUAUAAGAUGAAGAAGCACGAACUACAGCUGAGCUAUAAAGUUCCAUGCCAAUGAAAUCCAAGGAACUUCCUGGAUAGGAGGCUGAAAAUGAUACCAAGGAAGGCUAUGCAGAAGACCAUCAUAGCAGCAUAGUGUUACGAUCGGAGGGUGACUCUUCUGGAUUUUCCAUCAGUCAUAGCUCUGUGUAAGUAAGUGGAAUACAUUCUAUAUUUUCAGCCAUAUUCCUCCAAAAAAGAGGUUUAAAACAACAUAUCCAGAACAGAGAUAAAGCCAGCAUCAGGAUUAUGUCUGUUGGAGUGUAAUCUUCCCUUCUGAAUUCUAUACACAGCACAUGUGUCAGAACAUUCCACAUAGAUUAGAUUUAGUUUUAAAAAGAGAGUGAGUUGCCAGUCUUCAUCACUGCAAUUUUCUCAAAGGUAGGGAACAGUAAACAAAGGCAACGCUAUGACAAGGACAGGCUGACACACAGUAGCACAGACGCAACGCUGACUGUGGAAAAUGUACAGUUGACCUGGUUCAGCAAGAGUGAGACGAGGGAGGGCAGGCUGUCUUCUCUACAGAUCACCCAGUGACCACCACUCAUCCUCAUCUCACUUUCAGGUAAGCCUAAAGACUAUAUGAGUGGUCUAGUUAGCAGAGGAGGAAA
rnacentral:lncRNA from 1 species